AAUAAGCUAACAAAUAGAAAAUAUAUAAGAAAAUGAAUUUAUGUAUAAAAUAUAUAUUUUUUGUGUUAUCUAUUAAAUCCAUGAAUAUCGUCGAGUAAAUACAGAUGAGAAAAUAAUGCGAGAGGAAUAGAUAUAGAAUAAAAAUUCUAAAAUCAUAUAUCUCUAAUAAAAUUAAUAGGCAAGAAUAGUAAAUAAUGAAAAAGAAUAGAAAUAGAAUAAUAAUUGACUGUCGGCAAUAUCUUUUGAGUAUCAAAAAUAUUUUAUCUUACUUUAAUUCAUAAAGAUAUUUUUUUGAUAUUCAAAAGAUGACGCUGACAGUCAAUUCUUAUCCUAUUUUUAUCCUUCUCUCACUAUUAGGUAUUCUUAUUUGUUAUUUACAUUAUUGAUAUAGCACCAGAGACAGCACUGAUUCUAUUUUUUAACUACAUUCUUUUCUGUAUUUACUUGAUAAUAUUCAUAGAUCCAAGAAACGCCGCGGAUUUUUAAUUAGCUUUAUCUUUUUUGUCUAACUGGUUAUAUAUGUAUUAUAUACUUAGAUUUAGAUUUUUAAAUUUAUACACAUAUAUCAUAGUUUUAUUUUAUAUAUUAUAUUUAAUAUUACAAUAUUAAUAUUAUACUAUUAUAUACUAUUAAUAUAUAUUAUACUAUUAUAUUAUUAAUAUUAUAAUAUUAUAAUAUAUUAUUAUUAUUAUAAUAUUAUAAAUAUUAAUAAUAUUACAUAUUCUUUUAGUAAGUACUUAUACAUAAGUUUUUAAUUUGUACAUGUCAUACCAUAUUUUUUAUAUUUUUUUUAUAAUUUAGAAAAUAUUUAAUUAUUUUUUAAAGUAUUGAUUUCUUAAUUUAUAUGGUUUAAUAUUCUUUUAGAGAAUAAUUUUUAGAAAAUAAAAAAUAAAAACAAAGAAUAAUUUAUAUUAUUAUUACUAUUGGCAGAUUUGCAAUCGCAGUAAAAAAAAAUGAUAUGUGGUGCAUAACUGUUGAAAAACAUUUGAUGUCUCAAAAACUAAGAGUAAAAAGAUAUUUCAAGAAUUUAUUAACAUCACUUCCAACAACUGUCGAAAUUGGAAAAAUACCUCUUGUCAGCCUCCUGUAUACCUUCUGUAUACUCUCCUAAAUCGAAAAAUUGGCAAAAUUCAUUCAAGAGUUUCAAUAAUUCUAAAAA